rnacentral:lncRNA from 1 species
AGCAAUCCAGCAUGGUCCAUAUGAAAGACAGAGCAAUACAAAAUCUCAGCAUCGUGUUGCAGGCAAACCCCAUUUCCAGGUACGCUUCCGGAUUCUGGCCCAGUCAAAUUAUACACAAAAUUGAUGUAUAUGUGCAAUUUACUAUCAGCCCUAUCCUAUCAGAAGAUAGCAAGAAAAGCUGUCACCACUUAACAUCCAGUGAUAACGGAUCAGGCGGCAGAACAAAAGACAUGAAGUCGGUGAAGGAAACGUUCGAAGUCAAGCUGCUCCAAGAGGUAGCAUCCACUAUUGGAAAAGGUUUCCUAACCUUCUUCACUGACAUAGCCUUCAGUCUUCCCUCUUCUUCCACCCUAGCAAUAAUGUCAAGCAUGACUCGCUGGACCACAGGUAAAGUUUUCCACUCUGGUACAUCUUCCCAGAUGCCAUCCUCUUCAGUAAUGUCCCUCUC